AUUGAACGCUGGCGGCAGGCUUAACACAUGCAAGUCGAACGCAUCCUUCGGGGUGAGUGGCAGACGGGUGAGUAACGCGUGGGAACGUGCCCUUCAGUUCGGGAUAACCCAGGGAAACUUGGGCUAAUACCGGAUACGUGCGAGAGCAGAAAGAUUUAUCGCUGAAGGAUCGGCCCGCGUCUGAUUAGCUAGUUGGUGGGGUAAUGGCCCACCAAGGCGACGAUCAGUAGCUGGUCUGAGAGGGUGAUCAGCCACAUUGGGACUGAGACACGGCCCAAACUCCUACGGGAGGCAGCAGUGGGGAAUAUUGGACAAUGGGCGCAAGCCUGAUCCAGCCAUGCCGCGUGAGUGAUGAAGGCCUUAGGGUUGUAAAGCUCUUUCGUCCGGGACGAUAAUGACGGUACCGGAAGAAGAAGCCCCGGCUAACUUCGUGCCAGCCGCCGCAGUAA
rnacentral:rRNA from 1 species